rnacentral:lncRNA from 1 species
GAGAAAACAACUAUUAUGACCUGUCAUAUGCUUAAACUACCUGAUUUAGCUCUAGAAGUCGUUGUUAUUUUGUAUCGCUGCAGUAUUAGUGUGGUGGAUACCCCGGGUAGUUUAGAUUUUAGUUACGCUCGCGCUGAGAUGCUGAGUAUAUUUUUACGGUAGUGUUCAGACUGUUCCGGACUGUUGGGGGCCGUCGCAGUUGACGGUGGACCCCUAUCGCCGUUUUGGCGUCAGAUUGUGCUGAGGGCACGUGACCUGUUGGUUGUUAGACUGGUUGGACCCUGUU